GAUGAACGCUAGCGGCAGGCCUAACACAUGCAAGUCGAGGGGCAGCGGAUGAAGUGCUUGCACUUCUGCCGGCGACCGGCGCACGGGUGCGUAACGCGUAUGCAACCUACCUUUAACAGGGGGAUAAUCUGGAGAAAUCCGGUCUAAUACCCCAUAAUAUCAUUUAAGGCAUCUUAAUUGGUUAAAAAUUCCGAUGGUUAAAGAUGGGCAUGCGUUGUAUUAGUUAGAUGGUGAGGUAACGGCUCACCAUGACUACGAUACAUAGGGGGACUGAGAGGUUUACCCCCCACACUGGUACUGAGACACGGACCAGACUCCUACGGGAGGCAGCAGUGAGGAAUAUUGGUCAAUGGACGCAAGUCUGAACCAGCCAUGCCGCGUGCAGGAUGACGGCUCUAUGAGUUGUAAACUGCUUUUGUACGAGGGUAACCGCGGGUACGUGUACCCGUCUGAAAGUAUCGUACGAAUAAGGAUCGGCUAACUCCGGGCCAGCCGCCGCCGUAA
rnacentral:rRNA from 1 species